rnacentral:rRNA from 1 species
UACGUAGGGUGCGAGCAUUGCCCGGAUUUAUUGGGCGUAAAGGGCGCGUAGGCGGUCACGCACGUCCGUUGUGAAAGCCCCCGGCUCAACUGGGGAGGGUCACUCGAUACUGAUCGACUCGAAGGCAGGAGAGGGAAGCGGAAUUCCCGGUGUAGUGGUGAAAUGCGUAGAUAUCGGGAGGAACACCAGUGGCGAAGGCGGCUUUCUGGCCUGUUCUUGACGCUGAGGCGCGAAAGCUAGGGUAGCAAACGGG